AAUAUUGGUAAAUGGAGGCAACUCUGAACCAGCGAAGUCGCGUGAAGGAUGAAGGUCUUAUGGAUUGUAAACUUAUUUUGCAGAGGAAUAAAUAGCGGUACGAGUACCGUUUAGUAUUUACCCUGCGAAUUAGGAUCGGCUAACUACGUGCCAGCAGCCGCGGUAAUACGGAGGAUCCGAGCGUUAUCCGGAUUUAUUGGGUUUAAAGGGUGCGCAGGCGGGAGAUUAAGUCGGCGGUGAAAUUUUGCAGCUCAACUGUAAAAGUGCCUUCGAUACUGGUUUCCUUGAGUGUGGGUGAAGUAAGCGGAAUUUGUGGUGUAGCGGUGAAAUGCUUAGAUAUCACGAGGAACUCCGAUUGCGCAGGCAGCUUACUAAACCACUACUGACGCUCAGGCACGAAGGCGUGGGGAUCAAACAGG
rnacentral:rRNA from 1 species